rnacentral:rRNA from 1 species
GGGAGCUGCGCAAUGGAACCGGCCAGCUCUGGGAGCUGAAAAUAAUACCGUAUGACCCCGCCCGGGGAAAGAUUUAUCGCCAUUGGAUGAACCCGCGUCGCAUUGCCUAGUUGGAGGGGCCAAGGCCCACCAAGGCGACGAUCGGUAGCUGGUCUGAGAGGAGGAUCAACCACACUGUGACUGAAAAACGGGCCAAACCCCUACGGAACGGAGCAGUGGGCCAUAUUGCACAAUGAGGGCAAACCGGAUCCAACCGUGCCGCGGGAGUGAUGAAGGCCUUAGGGUUGCACAGGUCUUUCGACGACGAAGAUAAUGACGGUAGUCGGAGUUUUGCCCCGGGUAACUUCGUGCCAGCACCCGCGUUAAUACUAAGGGGGCUAGCGUUGAUCAGAAUCACUGUGCCUCAAUCCCACCUACGCCGAUAUUUAAGACAG